rnacentral:rRNA from 1 species
AUUGAACGCUGGCGGCAUGCCUUACACAUGCAAGUCGAACGGUAACAGGUCUUCGGAUGCUGACGAGUGGCGAACGGGUGAGUAAUACAUCGGAACGUGCCUAGUAGUGGGGGAUAACUACUCGAAAGAGUGGCUAAUACCGCAUGAGAUCUACGGAUGAAAGCAGGGGAUCGCAAGACCUUGUGCUACUAGAGCGGCCGAUGGCAGAUUAGGUAGUUGGUGGGAUAAAAGCUUACCAAGCCGACGAUCUGGAGCUGGUCUGAGAGGAGGAUCGUCCACACAGGGACUGAGAAACAGCCCAGAAUCCUACUGGAGGCAGCAGUGGGGAAUUUUGGACAAGGGGCGCAAGCCUGAUCCGGCAAUGACGCGUGCAGGAUGAAGAGCUUCGGGUUGUAAACUGCUUUUGUACGGAACGAAAAGCCCUGGGUUAAUACCCUGGGGUCAUGACGGUACCGUAAGAAUAAGCACCGGCUCACUACGUGCCAGCCGCCGCCGUAACAC